rnacentral:rRNA from 1 species
AAGGAUCAUUAUCUAUUCCAUGAGGUGCGGUCGCGGCCCUCGGCGGGAGCAACAGCUGCCGUCGGGCGGUAGAGGUAACACUUUCACGCGCCGCAUGUCUGAAUCCUUUUUUUACGAGCACCUUUCGUUCUCCUUCGGCGGGGCAACCUGCCGUUGGAACCUAUCAAAACCUUUUUUUUGCAUCUAGCAUUACCUGUUCUGAUACAAACAAUCGUUACAACUUUCAACAAUGGAUCUCUUGGCUCUGGCAUCGAUGAAGAACGCAGCGAAAUGCGAUAAGUAGUGUGAAUUGCAGAAUUCAGUGAAUCAUCGAAUCUUUGAACGCACAUUGCGCCCCUUGGUAUUCCAUGGGGCAUGCCUGUUCGAGCGUCAUCUACACCCUCAAGCUCUGCUUGGUGUUGGGCGUCUGUCCCGCCUCUGCGCGCGGACUCGCCCCAAAUUCAUUGGCAGCGGUCCUUGCCUCCUCUCGCGCAGCACAUUGCGCUUCUCGAGGGGCGCGGCCCGCGUCCACGAAGCAACAUUACCGUCUUUGACCUCGGAUCAGGUAGGGAUACCCGCUGAACUUAA